rnacentral:rRNA from 1 species
UACGUAGGGUGCGAGCGUUGUCCGGAUUUAUUGGGCGUAAAGGGCUCGUAGGCGGCGUGUCGCGUCGGGGAGUGAAAGCCCGCUGCUUAACGGCGGGUUGGCUUCCGGUACGGGCAUCGCUGGAGUGCGGCAGGGGGAGACUGGAAUUCCUGGUGUAGCGGUGGAAUGCGCAGAUAUCAGGAGGAACACCGGUGGCGAAGGCGGGUCUCUGGGCCGAUACUGACGCUGAGGAGCGAAAGCGUGGGGAGCGAACAGG